AUGGGUGGGAGGUCAAUCCCAAGGAAAGCAGGGAUGGGCAGGAGGUCAAUCCCUGGGAAGGCUGAGAGGGAUUGGAGUCGUUGGGAAGCUGAGAUGGGGAUCCCGAAAUUCCGCUGGAAUUUGGGUUGGCUGAUGGAGUUUGAUCCUUUCAGACCCCCCUGUAUCCCUGCUGAUCCCAAACCUUCUCCUCCUCUGGAAUUUGGGUUGGAUGAUGGAAUUUUAGCUGUUAAAAGGUCACUGGAUCCAUGCUGAUCCCAAAAUUCCUCUGGAAUCUGGGUUGGACGAUGGAGUUUGGUCCAUUAAAAAGCCAUUGGAUCCAUGCUGAUCCCAAAAUUCCUCAUGGAACGGGGUCCUGGGAAAAGCAGGGAUGGGCGGGAGGUCAAUCCCUGGGAAGGCUGAGAGGGAUUGGAGUCGUUGGGAAGCUGAGAUGGGGAUCCCGAAAUUCCGCUGGAAUUUGGGUUGGCUGAUGGAGUUUGAUCCUUUCAGACCCCCCUGUAUCCCUGCUGAUCCCAAACCUUCUCCUCCUCUGGAAUUUGGGUUGGAUGAUGGAAUUUUAGCUGUUAAAAGGUCACUGGAUCCAUGCUGAUCCCAAAAUUCCUCUGGAAUCUGGGUUGGACGAUGGAGUUUGGUCCAUUAAAAAGCCAUUGGAUCCAUGCUGAUCCCAAAAUUCCUCAUGGAACGGGGUCCUGGGAAAAGCAGGGAUGGGCGGGAGGUCAAUCCCUGGGAAGGCUGAGAGGGAUUGGAGUCGUUGGGAAGCUGAGCUGGGGAUCCCGAAAUUCCUCUGGAAUUUGGGUUGGCUGAUGGAGUUUGAUCCUUUCAGACCCCCCUGUAUCCCUGCUGAUCCCAAACCUUCUCCUCCUCUGGAAUUUGGGUUGGAUGAUGGAAUUUUAGCUGUUAAAAGGUCACUGGAUCCAUGCUGAUCCCAAAAUUCCUCUGGAAUUUGGGUUGGACGAUGGAGUUUUAGCUGAUCCCGAAAUUCCUCUGGAAUUUGGGUUGGAUCAUGGAGUUUUAGCUGAUCCCGAAAUUCCUCUGGAAUCUGGGUUGGCUGAUGGAGUUUGGUCCAUUAAAAAGCCAUUGGAUCCAUGCUGAUCCCAAAAUUCCUCACGGAACGGGGUCCUGGGAAAAGCAGGGAUGGGCGGGAAGUCAAUCCUGGGAAAGCUGAGAGGGAUUGGAGUCGUUGGGAAGCUGAGAUGGGGAUCCCGAAAUUCCGCUGGAAUUUGGGUUGGAUGAUGGAAUUUUAGCUGUUAAAAGGUCACUGGAUCCAUGCUGAUCCCAAAAUUCCUCUGGAAUCUGGGUUGGCUGAUGGAGUUUGAUCCUUU